ACAAGAUCUGAUGGUUUUAAAAAGGGGAGUUUCCCCACACAUCUCUUGUCUGCCACCAGGUGAGAUGUGUUUUUCACCUUCCACCAUGAUUGUGAAGCCUUCCCAGCCAUGUAGAACUGUAAGUCCAAUAACUACCUUUCUUUUAUUAAUUGCCCAGUCUUGGGUAUGUCUUUAUCAGCAGCGUGAAAAUGGACUAAUACAAGUGGGUAAUGCCUUGUGGGGAUAGGAGGCAAUAACAGCACAUAGUGCAUAGGAUAAAUGCCUAAUCCAGUUCAGUGAUUGGGAUGUGGCUAGGGGUGGACAGUUCAGAAAGGUUUUUAAGAGGAAUUAACAUUGAAAACGCAAGACCAACAGGAGCAAGUCAAGCUAAAAAGAACAGAAGAGAAAAAUGUUCCAAACUGAGGAAAGUGUGCAAAGACUCUCAAGGAAAGAAGUCUUGGUAGGUUUGGAAAAGUCUGAGGAACUUCAAUCUGGCUGAUCAAGUGCAAGGGUAAAAGGCGAGGUUGCAAACACAGGAAGAGGUUAAAGUGGACCUCUUUACUUUAUAGGCAAAAUUAAUGGGGUUGGCCUUGAUCCUGACAGCAAAGGGAGGCCACUUAAAUGUUAAGCAGUGAGAUGAUAUGAAAUUGUCUUUAGAACAAAAGAUUUCCAAAUGGGGUAGGCUCAUUCACUGGGGUUCAAGGUGUCAGAGGCAUGAACAGUUUUUUGUAAUUAAUUUUAAGGUGGUCACCUUCCUUUUGUACUCCUUCUACUAGAGAAUGCACACACUUGUGAUGAAGGCAUCAUAUGGUUUUCCUUUUCCUCUUGCCCUAGCAUAAUUAUCUUUCUCCCUCUUUUAUUUUUAUUUAUUAUUAUUUUUUUAUGAGGCAUAUCACUCAUUCAUUCUGAACCUUGCUUUGGUGAGUUAUCCAGGGGCACCAAACAGAUGGACAAUUCAGAAUACUGGUACUGGUGAAGACUCCUCUUGUCAAGACACAAUAAACUCACUUGGAAGAUUUGAGAUUUGUCCUUGUAUUAAAAAUAUUUUUAUUAGGGGCAAAAUGUGGUAUCAGAAAUAGGGUGUUAGAAUGUUUUGGAAUCAGAUAUCUUGCAGAGCAAAGAUGCUGGAGUAAUGAUAAUUUUUACCUAUUGGUUUUGUCUCUUUCAUUCCUGAACUAUCAUCAAAGAAUGCAAUGCACCUGAAAAGAAAAAAAAUUUGAUUAAACACAUUGAUGAGGGUGGCACCUCACUUCAUCCAGGAAACAAUGCAAGUCAAAGAUCCCUGCUUUAUCUAUUUUAGUAUUGGAGCAUUCCAAAUUGUAAAAAGCAUCAUAGGAAGUAAGCAUCUGCAACAGAGUGAACCCUCUGGAUAUUUUCCCCCUCCUGGGUAAGGAGAAAGAAUACCAAUACCAACGAGAGAAUUCCCCUUCACCUGUGUUUUCAGCUGUCUUGUUGGUCUGAUUUCAAGGAGAAAAGAGUGGAAAAUAAUUGAUUCAUUUUCUAAAGAUUUUACAGCUUCAGUGAAAGGAACAUAUAACAAAGAAACCAGUUGCCAUGAUGUGAGGAAGCUCAAGCAACCCUAUGGAGAAACGGUUUCCCACAGGGAAAGAUAUCCAGAUCCCUGUCUAACAGCUUCAAUUGAGCACCCAUCUGAAAUAAGCAUCAACCUGUCAACCAUGUGAGUGAGCUGUCUUGGAAGUGGACCCUCCAGCCACAGCUGAGUCAUUCAAGCUGAUGAGUAGAGACAAGCUAUUUCCAAUGGGCCUUAACAAAAUUGCAGAUUUGUGAGCAAAACAAAUAAUUUUUGUUGUUUCAAGAUACUAAAUUUUGGAGGAGUUUGUUAUACAACAAUAGAUAACCAGAAAACCAUGACAUAUGAAUUAUAAAUUUAUCAUUGAGUUGUUGGUUAUCUUUCCACCUCUGAAAAUUAAAUACCUAGCCAGUCAUGAUAAAGAGUAAGGUAAAAAAAGUAUGAAAGUAUGAGAAAUAUAUAUGAAAAAUCAAGGAUGAGCAGAAAAUAGGAUCAGGAAUGAGGCUAAUAUAUAAUGCAUACCACAAUUCUUAAUUUGGAAAAUUUUGUCAAUUUCUAAUAAAGUUAAACAUACAUCCGACCUAUGAGUCAGCAAUUUUACUCUUAUGUAUAUACUCAAAGAAUAUCAAAUAAAGACAUAUGUCCACCAAAACACUCUUAAAGAAUGCUCAUAGUAGCUUCAUUCAUAAUGAUUCCCAAAUGGAAACAAUGGAAAUGUCAUUAAACAAUGAAUGAAGCCAAACACAUGAGUCUACAUACUGUAUGAUUUCAUUGAUAUUAAGUUCAAAAACAUGCAAAUUAAACUACGAUAACAGGAGUUGUAUGGCUGGUUACCUUUGGAGGAAAAGGAAAUGACUAGGAAGGAUCACUUUAAAAAAUCUUCUAUAGUGAUAGGAUCUUUUAUAUAUUGACCUGGAUAAUAGUUACAUGGAUGUAUACAUAUGUAAAAUUAAUUGUGCUAUACACUAAAGGUUUGUGCAUUUGACUGUGUCAAUUAUUUCACAUUUAAAAAUAAAUAAA
rnacentral:lncRNA from 1 species